rnacentral:lncRNA from 12 species
AUUUGUAGGAAUGUUAAUGCCUUGACUACACACAGUUUUACUUAUUGAGAGAGGCUUUGUGAUCACAUAAAACUUAAGAAAGCAUGAAAGGAAUCAGUUUUCUUGGAUAUUUGCAGUGCUGGCUGUAUCAGAAAGGAGUGGCAGAACGGGAGUGGAGGAAAAAUGCAUGUCCACAGAUCACAGACAGAAAACCAGAAAAAUUUUGCCAUGUGAGGGAGAACUCCUGAAAUGGAAGCUGAUUUGGAGAAUAUGUCUGACAAAGACAAUGGGGCUGCAGGCAAGCCCAGGAGAAGGUGAGGAAAAGCAUGGUGUGCUGCCAGGUAGGAGAUUGGUCCACAUGAUCCAUCCCUCCUGUCCUUACACAAAAAUGAUGGUGAGCCUGCUGCUGUUAUUCCAGG